UUGUAGCUCAGUUGGAUAGAGUGCCGGUUUCCGAAACCGUAGGUCGCAGGUUCGAAUCCUGUCAAG
rnacentral:tRNA from 1 species